CUUGUACUCCCUCCGCCCGGAAAUACUUGUCAUUGAAAUGGAUGUAUCUAGAUGUAUUUUAGUUCUAGACACAUCCAUUUUGAUGACAAGUAAUUCCAGACGAAGGGAGUACUUG
rnacentral:pre_miRNA from 1 species